rnacentral:lncRNA from 1 species
UAGUGCUCAAGAGGAGGACUGGUGAAAGCCUCAAGGUGAUGGAGUAUUGGAGAUUGAAUAGACUAAGUCAAUGAUGGUGAACCUAUAGCAUGGGUGCAAAAGAUGGCACACAGAGCACUCUCUGUGGGCACAGGACUGCCCCCUCCCCCAAGAGUUCAUUACUAGAAAUACAGAAGGACUUGGAUGGAGCUGCUCCCCUCCCCCUCUAACCUUAUGACAUUUUUUUUCACACCCCCCACCCCUCUGCCCAGCAGCCCAAUGGAAACACACAAAGGAUAAGUUGGGCAGUUCAUAGUCAGCAGAACUAGAGAGAAGCAAAGUACUUGGACCACUCUCCUUCUCCUUUCUACACUGGCUGAGGACAUUCCUCACUUCACCCACCCCUCUGACCAGCAGCUGUAAAGGGUGAAAUUAUGGUUGAGACUGAAAAAAAUCUAAAUUUAAGUGGUCGUCAAAGGAAAUCCCAAAUAAUAAAAUACCCAAGUCAGCUGCCAAAUUUUAUGGUGAUUUAAUUGAUAUAGUAGAGAAGAUUUUAAGAAGGAGGAAGGAAGGGACUAGUACCGGGCAGGAAGAUAGGAGAUCUAGAAAGUAAGGUUUUGAGUGUGAAGGAGGAAAGAAUCAGCUUGACCUCCAAAGAGGCUUAGCUAAGAUGCCUGAACCUGAAAUCAACUCCAGGGCAAACUCACCACCCAACACUCCAAGAUGUCGGAACGCUUAGCACGCUGCCAGUCAGAGUCAUCUCUCCAAGGAAAGAGAGAGAGGCAGCCUGUGACGUGCCUUAUAUGGACAUUUUUACAUCACUUUUAUGCAUCUCAUCUGUACCAAUGAGGACUUAGCUUGACUUAGGACAGCCCAAAGUAAAGAAUUCUGCCCCUAGCCUUAAUUAUGAAAGAUGCCUGACACUGGAUCCCUUCAAAGUUUUAUGACCUCCACCUCUGCAAAAAAAAGGAGGAAGAAGAAGAAUAAGGAGGAGGAGGAGGAAGAAGAAGAGGAGGAGGAGGAGAAGAAGGAAGAUGACUUUUAAAAAAAUAUUGAUUUAAAAAAACAUUAUAAAGGGAGAAUUACAUAGUAUGAUGGUAAUAGAGAAUUGAAUUACUGGAAAUAUGGAGGAAGGAGUGAUUAAUGUGAAUGAGGGUUUCUUCCCUAUUCAAUAAACCCCAGUAAGAAAUAGAAAUUUCUCUUGUU